rnacentral:rRNA from 1 species
GACGGAGGAUGCAAGUGUUAUUCGGAAUCACUGGGCGUAAAGCGUCUGUAGGUGGUUUAAAAAGUCCACUGUUAAAAAUUGAAGCUUAACUUCAAAGAUGCCGUGGAAACUUUUAAACUUGAGUAUGAUAGGGGUAGAGGGAAUUUCCAGUGGAGCGGUGAAAUGCGUAGAUAUUGGAAAGACCACCAAUGGCGAAGGCACUCUACUGGGCCAUUACUGACACUGAGAGACGAAAGCUAGGGGAGCGAAUGGG